rnacentral:rRNA from 1 species
CACAAGCGGAGGAGCAUGUGGUUUAAUUCGAUGAUACGCGAGGAACCUUACCUGGGCUCGAACGUAAGAUGACUGUAGGUGAAAGCUUACAUCUCUUCGGAGCAUUUUACGAGGUGCUGCAUGGUUGUCGUCAGCUCGUGCCGUGAGGUGUCGGGUUAAGUCCCAUAACGAGCGCAACCCUACCUUUAGUUGCCAUCAGGUAAUGCUGGGGACUCUAAAGGAACUGCCUACGCAAGUAGUGAGGAAGCGGGGAUGACGUCAAAUCAGCACGGCCCUUACGUCCAGGGCUACACACGUGCUACAAUGGCCGAUACAGAGGGCAGCUACCUGGUGACAGGAUGCAAAUCUCCAAAGUCGGUCUCAGUUCGGAUCGGAGUCUGCAACCCGACUCCGUGAAGUUGGAUUCGCUAGUAAUCGCGCAUCAGCCAUGGCGCGGUGAAUACGUUCCCGGGCCUU